UAAAAACAAAACAAAACAGUACAGAGUAGAUUUGGGACUCUGACUCCAUGCAGCCACUGGGGUCCUGGAACGUUCCUCACCUGUGGGGAGAAGGACUGUACAGUAUGUGACUUGCUGUGCAAAGACACUGUACAAUUCCAGACCACAGCUGCCAUAGGCUCGUGGAAGCACAGAAAGUAAACUGGGUAAGGAGGGGUCACUGAAGACAUGGACAGGCUCGCUGGUGUGCUCUAGUAACCAACAGGAAAAGUACAACUGUAGCAAGGGGUGACUUCCCUACACUCCCAGCACUGACACAGAAGGCCUCAUUUGUGUCAUCAGAGCUGAGGAGUGCUCUGGCCUAAACUCUAAUAGUGCCAAGUCCUCAAAAUACUGCUGUCAACAUCAGAUCUACCCUGAAAAGAGAUCAAACCUGAGAUAUAAGAAAAGUGCAGAAAGUAUAGAAUUCAAUAUUCCUUCAGACAUACACAUAAAGUGUUUAAUCCAAAUUAAAAAUGUAAGUGGCUUAACUUUGGCCUUUUUGAUGUGAUUCAAUAAAUCUAAUGCAGAUUUAUCUUUGUCUAAUGUAGUAGCUUCUUGAUAUUCCAUUGAUGCAAGGUUGAUCUUUUUUCCAAAAUCCUAAUGUUCAACACUUUUAUUUGCUUUAUCCUCAGGGCUUUUUAUGAAAUACACUAAUGAGAGAAAAUACAUACACCGAAAGCUUUAAAAUGUAAACUGAUGAACACUGGUAUCAUGUCAGUAAGUACUAAAGUAAGAAAUGGAUGAGGCAUGCACUGAUGCGUCUUUUCCAAACUUCCUACUACUAUUUGUGAAGGAAAAGCAUUCUCUCCCAGAGUCGGACGUUUUGUAUUAACUUAGGGGAGACACCUGUGACCCAGUGACAAAGCCAGAACUCAUACUGGAAGCCUGUCCACAGCCAAGAACUGUGACACCAGUAGACUCUGCCAUUUAACAAGUGCCCAAGACUGAGAGCAGACUGUCAUCGUAGAAACCCCUCCCUCGUCGCAUGCAUUACCUCAGAGGCUGAUAUUUUAUCCUUAUAAAACUUAAUUCAAAAUUAAAUUGCAAGUGUUUUCUCACAGUCUCUUACAGUGGUAGCCAGGGGCAACACACGGGUAAUUGCAAGCAUUAGUUCGGCUUUGUGGACAGAUCUCCUGUGAGACUGAUGUGGCAGCUCCACUGACCUCUCUGUGUGUUCAGCAAUGUGGCUGUGUUUUCUGUGAAUGCUUGGAAGUAUGGCAGCUUCUUCUAAACAAUGCUGGCAAAUGUGACCAUGAACAAUCAUCAAACAGAAGGUCUCCUCCCCUGCACUGACGGCGGGGUGUCGUCAGUCGCUCAGACUUCAGUCAUUAUUGCGUUACACAGAAAGAGUAAAGCACAGACGCACUCCACACAGGAAACGUUUCUGCUUCUUAGGAACUGAACCAGAGUAAAUGUCAAGUACCCAUGAGGCCUUUGAUUCAUCUUGAGCGACAUCUUGUGCAGAAUCAGACGAUGCUCAACUCACCAUGUUGCAUGUGACUGCCCAGUGUUAACAUUGUAACACUUCCCAGUGAAGUAUGGGAUCCAGGUUCGGUUCCCAGUGUCUGCAUGCAGCUCAGGACCAGGGAGCUGACUCCACCUCUGCCCUCUUCAGGCUCCUGCAUGCACGUGAGGCAGACACGUUGGCAUCAACACACAAAGUAAAGUUACUAUACUCUCAAAAUAUUUGUUUCUGUUCAUUAACUAAGAUGUCUAUGAAAAACAAAAACCUCAAGGCUGUCCCCUACUUCUUUCUUCAAUGAGAGGAGCGGAGCAAAUGGUUCACUGGUGUGCUCAGGACGAACAUGGGCCUUCCGACCCCAUGGGGCCUCAGCAUGGCAGUCAGCGCUGUCCGUGCGCUCCCACAGCCAGCCUGCUCAUACUUAGACAAGAACAAUGGAGACAUUUUGGAUUUAAAUAUCCCAGAGACAGAGAAUGUGAUGUUUUCAGUCCUCUCUCUCCCUCUCUAACCUAAAUAAUCUGAAGAUUUACCUGUCUGGCUGUCUGUCCAAUUGUCUAUCUAUUUAAUUUGCCAGUAAAACAUUAGGUGUGAGGAAAUAUAUACAACAAGGCACACAGAAAGAAAGAUCUGGUAUAUCACAGGGUGCCUUGGGAGGCUAAGCCUAGUUUCUCCUUGAUAGGUGGGUAUUUUCACGGUCCUUGGGUUCUUCCUUCUCCACUUAUGUUCGGUCAGUUUGAAAAUAGAUGGAGUCUGGUAGAACCUACGACUAGCAGGAAGAAGCCUGUCCAGCUCUUAGUCUUGGGUUUGAAGGCUGAGGGGAAAAUCUUCUCAGCUCACCAUCUAUGUAGACAUGGCUCUCUUUUCUUGAAGACUGAUUUAAGAACAAAAGAAAACAAAUGGACCACCUCCCAGCAAACCUCCCAAAACUGAAGAAUUAAAUCCUGUGUUUUAGGGUAAGUUUUCCUCUCCAUUUUCCUACUGCCUCAUUUUUAUUUUAUAUUUUAAUUUACAGAUUUACUAACCUACACCUGAUAGAGUAAUUUCAGUUCCUUCCUAGGCUUCUAACAAUAACUCUGAUGUUGUUUUUGUUUUGCUGGGUUUUUUGUUUGUUUGUUUUUUUAAACAGGGUCGCACUAUAUAGCACUGGGUAGCCUGAAACUUGCUAUGCAGAGCAGGCUGGUCUCAAACUCACAAAGUUCUGCCUGCAGAGCUUGGCCUACUGAAAACUAGAAUUAAUUCAGUACCACCAAGCCAGGCUAAUAACUAGGUUUAUGGUUAUAAAUAUCAAACUCAGAUAAGCAAAAUUCAUUCUCAUCUUUUAACAGUGUUUUCCAUACAUUCCUGUAAGUCAUUAAAAGACUCCUUAACAAUGGAUUAAUUAUUAUGAAUGUCAAAUUAUAAUAUGUAUCUUAUUUCCUAUCCAGAAAAGAAAAACUGAUUCAUGAUGUGACAGGAGGGAACACAGGAACUACUCUGAGCAAAUGUUAUGACAAUUAUGGAACUGAGUGUUCUGAAGCCUAAUGAUGAGCCAUCAAUCUGUGAAUUACCAAAAGUUUACAGUAGAUAUACUUGCUGUUCCACAAGUUAUAUACGUCCGUUUGUGUGCGUGUGUGUGUGUUUGCGUGUCCGUGUGUUUGUAGGCACACAUGCUGAAGGUGUUGGAUCCCUGGAACUGCAAUCACAGGUAGUUAUGGUCCCUCAGGUUUUGAACAGACUCAAGCAAGAGGUCUCCAGGGACCACGUAUGUGGCAGUGGAAGUAGAGAAAGGAAUGGCUCAGCUCUGAGCAGACAGCAGAGCCACCAGGACCGUGUGGUGCACGUGGUGGCUUUCAUUUGUCUCUGUGUGUCAGCGUUCACUCUUCCAUUCUUGCUCUAAUCUGUGCCACCACACAUCACUCCCGUGUCCCCACACUCGUCCACCCUCGGCUUCCUCCGUGUUUGUCUUCCUUUCAUCCUGUAACAACGAGGAGCCAGAAAAGUGUGCUGCACCCCGAUAUUCCCAUGUCACCCCGAUAUUCCCAUGUCACCCCGAUAUUCCCAUGUCACCCCGAUAUUCCCCACAUCACUCCAAUAUUCCCCGUGUCACCCCGAUAUUCCCCACGUCACCCCGAUAUUCCGCACAUCACCCCGAUAUUCCCCACAUCACCCCGAUAUUCCCCACGUCACCCCAAUAUUCCCCACGUCACCCCAAUAUUCCCCAUGUCACCCCGAUAUUCCCAUGUCACCCCGAUAUUCCCCGUGUAACCCCGAUGUUUCCCAUGUCACCCUGAUAUUCCCCACGUCACCCCAAUAUUCCCCGUGUCACCCCGAUAUUCCCACGUCUCCCCGAUAUUCCCCAUGUCACCCCGAUAUUCCCCAUGUCACCCUGAUAUUCCCAUG
rnacentral:sRNA from 1 species